GGGCGCGUAGCGCAGCGGUAGAGCACCACCUUGACAUGGUGGGGGUCACAGGUUCAAUCCCUGUCGCGCCCACCA
rnacentral:tRNA from 9 species